GGCGGCAUGGUGAAGUGGUAACACUGGAGUCUGCAAAACUCCCACGCGCCGGUUCGAUUCCGGCUGCCGCCUCCA
rnacentral:tRNA from 1 species